rnacentral:pre_miRNA from 1 species
UUUGUACUCCCUCCGUCCCAAAAUUCUUGUCUUAAAUUUAUCUAGAUACGGAUGUAUCUAGUUACAUUUUAGUGUUAGAUACAUCUGUAUCUAAACAAAUGUAAGACAAGAAUUUUGGGACGGAGGGAAUACUAC